ACUCCUACGGGAGGCAGCAGUGAGGAAUAUUGCACAAUGGGCGCAAGCCUGAUGCAGCAACGCCGCGUGGGGGAUGAAGGCCUUCGGGUCGUAAACCCCUUUUCCAUGGGAAGAGAAAGGACGGUACCAUGGGAAUAAGUCUCGGCUAACUACGUGCCAGCAGCCGCGGUAAAACGUAGGAGGCGAACGUUAUCCGGAAUUACUGGGCGUAAAGCGCGCGCAGGCGGCUUCGUAAGUCCGAUGUGAAAGCUCUCGGCUUAACUGGGAGAGGCCAUUGGAUACUGCGGAGCUUGAGGUUAGGAGAGGAAAGCGGAAUUCCCGGUGUAGUGGUGGAAUGCGUAGAUAUCGGGAGGAACUCCAGAGGCGAAGGCGGCUUUCUGGCCUACACCUGACGCUGAGGCGCGAAAGCGUGGGGAGCGAACAGGAUUAGAUACCCUGGUAGUCCACGCUGUAAACGAUGUGAACUAGGUGUUGGUGGUAUCGACCCCAUCAGUGCCGUAGCUAACGCGGUAAGUUCACCGCCUGGGGACUACGGCCGCAAGGCUAAAACUCAAAGGAAUUGACGGGGGCCCGCACAAGCAGCGGAGCGUGUGGUUUUAAUUCGAUGCAACGCGAAGAACCUUACCUGGGUUUGACAUGUACGUAGUAGGAAGCCGAACGGUGACCGACCCCUCU
rnacentral:rRNA from 1 species